rnacentral:tRNA from 1 species
UCCUCGGUAGCUCAGCGGUAGAGCAGCCGACUGUUAAUCGGCUGGUCGCUGGUUCGAAUCCAGCCCGGGGAGCUA